rnacentral:rRNA from 1 species
GACGAACGCUGGCGGCGUGCUUAACACAUGCAAGUCGAACGGAAAGGCCCUGCUUUUGUGGGGUGCUCGAGUGGCGAACGGCUGAGUAACACGUGAGUAACCUGCCCUUGACUUUGGGAUAACUUCAGGAAACUGGGGCUAAUACCGGAUAGGAGCUCCUGCUGCAUGGUGGGGGUUGGAAAGUUUCGGCGGUUGGGGAUGGACUCGCGGCUUAUCAGCUUGUUGGUGGGGUAGUGGCUUACCAAGGCUUCGACGGGUAGCCGGCCUGAGAGGGUGACCGGCCACAUUGGGACUGAGAUACGGCCCAGACUCCUACGGGAGGCAGCAGUGGGGAAUAUUGCACAAUGGGCGGAAGCCUGAUGCAGCAACGCCGCGUGCGGGAUGACGGCCUUCGGGUUGUAAACCGCUUUCGCCUGUGACGAAGCGUGAGUGACGGUAAUGGGUAAAGAAGCACCGGCUAACUACGUG